UACGUAGGGGGCAAGCGUUGUCCGGAAUCAUUGGGCGUAAAGCGCGUGUAGGCGGCUCGAUAAGUCUGCUGUGAAAGUCCAAGGCUCAACCUUGGGAUGCCGGUGGAUACUGUCGAGCUCGAGUCCGGAAGAGGAGUGUGGAAUUCCUGGUGUAGCGGUGAAAUGCGUAGAUAUCAGGAGGAACACCGGUGGCGAAAGCGGCUCACUGGACCGUAACUGACGCUGAGGUGCGAAAGCUAGGGGAGCAAACGGG
rnacentral:rRNA from 1 species